UACAGGGGGGGCAAGCGUUUGUUCGGAAUUACUGGGCGUAAAGGGUCUGUAGGUGGCCAACUAAGUCAGACGUGAAAUCCCUCAGCUUAACUGGGGAACUGCGUCUGAUACUGGAUGGCUUGAGUGUGGGAGAGGAAUGCGGAAUUCCAGGUGUAGCGGUGAAAUGCGUAGAUAUCUGGAGGAACACCGGUGGCGAAGGCGGCAUUCUGGACCAUAACUGACACUGAGAGACGAAAGCCAGGGGAGCAAACGGG
rnacentral:rRNA from 1 species